AGACGAACCGUGCGAACGUUGUUCGGAAUCACUGGGCUUAAAGGGCGCGUAGGCGGGUCACCAAGUCCGGGGUGAAAUCUUUCGGCUUAACCGGAAAACAGCCUUGGAUACUGGUGACCUCGAGGGAGGUAGGGGUCUGUGGAACUUCUGGUGGAGCGGUGAAAUGCGUUGAUAUCAGAAGGAACGCCGGUGGCGAAAGCGACGGACUGGACCUCCACUGACGCUGAGGCGCGAAAGCUAGGGGAGCAAACA
rnacentral:rRNA from 1 species